AUUUUUUAAGGAAUCUGCGAUUAAAAGGAUAUCCGGUGAUUUUAGUAUACCCUGUAUAUUUCCUUGAUUUGCUAACAUGCAUAAUUGUAGUUACACUAUUUAAAAACCAGUGGUUAUUUUUAUAUAUGCAGGUACUUUGAAUUCUUAUGGAAACACUUUUACUCUUCAUAAUAAGCUGAUUAAGAUUACAAUGCCGCGACGUAGAAGACCUGAGGAAAAUAUUAGUAAAUCUGAGUUAUUUCGUUGCGCAAAAAAACAAACGAUUCGAGAACUAGAAGAAAUAUCUUCUAUUGUGUUUCAAUCACACGAAAGCUCGGCUAUAAUUAGACCCGAAGAGGAAAUCUAUACAGAAACAGUAAAUAAUGUUCUUUUAACAAAAGACAAUGACAGUCAAACAGAAUUCUCAAAUGCCCAGGAAGUACACAACGAACAUUUUAAUGAACAUAUUGCAAUGGAUUUCGAUACAGAGUAUCAAUACAGCGAUAGCGAAUUAAAUUCUGAAAUAGAUGCAUACAGCAGCUGUGAUGUUAAUAUAUAUGACGAGGAUAUGGAAAAUCCAGAAAAAUUGCUUGGCAAACAAUUUAAAUUAAAAAUAAAAAACUGGGCUAAGAAAUUUAAAGUACCUCACAACAGCUUAAAAUCAUUGUUAGCUAUUUUAAAUGAACAUGUAAAAAUAGAUUUUCCUAAAGAUCCUCGCACACUUUUGGGAACACCAAAAACCACGCGCAUAGAAAAUAUGGGACAUGGGCAAUACUGUCACUUUGGAUUGUGGUGCUAAAAUACGGAUAAUGGUGCUAAAAAUAGGAACGACAAUUCACAAACUGAUACUCAACAAAAAGGAUCGUUUAGUGCAGAUAACUUGUCAACUGUAUUGAGGCUUAUUCUGACAAAGCAAAAUAAAAUCGUAAAACAGAACGAAAUUAUAAUGACUAAAAUUACGAAUCUCGAGAAAAAAGUUUCUCUUACAGAAACAAGUCAUUGCCAGUUGAGUAACCGAACAAAAGAUAAAUUAUAUGAAACGUUCAUUAUAAAAACUACGAACGAUCUAGAGCAGUUUGACGCUUGUUUAAAAAAAAGAAGUUUUUUGAUGAAGUUGUUGAAUUUUUAAAGCAAAAAGGAGGUCCUGAUGUGCGGUCUCAUGUGUUUAAUAUUUUAAACACUACAAUAAGUAAUUCUGUUGCAACACAAUAUAGUUAUAAGGGUCAAAAGAGAAAAAAAAGAUUUGUAAAUCUAAUGUUCAACACCUGUAUAUAUAAAGCUGCACAAAUGCACAUGCCGUCAGCUACGGAGGACCAAAUAAAAAUGGCUAUAGCUGCUUGGCUUGACAAUUCAUCAACUCGAUUAAAAAAUGAGCAGAAAAAACGUGUUUGUGUUACACAUUUAAGAACGGAUUUCUCAAAUGAAAGUUCUGACGACGACGAACAAGAAAAAUAGUCUUGUCAUGUUGCUUGUACUUUUAUAAGAAUGUUUUGAAAUUUUAUCAUACAUUGUAUCUAGAUAUCAUCUAGAUAAUUGGUAGUUGCAUUGCAGAAACGUUGCAAUCUUGCAAGGUAAUAUUUCUGCAAUCUUUCUGCAAUCUUUCUGUACUGUG